UACGAAGGGUGCAAGCGUUACUCGGAAUUACUGGGCGUAAAGCGUGCGUAGGUGGUUUGUUAAGUCUGAUGUGAAAUCCCCGGGCUCAACCCGGGAACUGCGUCCGAUACUGGCAGGCUUGAAUCCGGGAGAGGGAUGCGGAAUUCCAGGUGUAGCGGUGAAAUGCGUAGAUAUCUGGAGGAACACCGAUGGCGAAGGCAGCCCCCUGGGCCAACACUGACGCUCAGGCACGAAAGCGUGGGGAGCAAACAGG
rnacentral:rRNA from 1 species